rnacentral:snRNA from 1 species
GGAUGUGAGGGUGAUCUGGCUGUGACAUCUGUCACCCCAUUGAUUGCCAGGGUUGAUUCGGCUAAUCUUGCUGGCUAGGCAGGUGUCCUCUUCCUCCCUCACUGCUCCAGUUGCAACCCUUCCGAUGCUAAAGCUGUGUGUGCGCUUGGUCAAAGAGGACGACCAUCCCCAUUAGAGGAGGAUCAUUCUUCAGUCAAGGGUAUAAAAGUAGCAGCUCUCCCCUGCUAGAACCACCAAACAAGCUGUCAAGGAAGGAGGGAGGGGGUAUAAGGGGCACAUGACCACCCACCGGAUGCCCUGUCC